rnacentral:lncRNA from 1 species
AGUUAGAGUAAAUUGUCAAGACUUAAAACUUACUUACUUUACCUUUCACCAUGGGACUUGUAACCGUCACUUCUGUCUUGAGUGGUUAAAAGAUAGAACAGUCUAGUCAAAUGUCAUGUCUCUUAUUCUUGAUCAGCUAUAGCUCUGGAGUUUUUGCAGAUUUUCAAAUAAAACUCAAAGAUUCCUUGUAUGACUCUCUCAUAUCUCUCUUUUGUGGUAUUUUUGGAUCCUUACCAAGGCAGUGAUGAUAUAUGCCUUCUCUCAAAGUAUGUGGUAUUUGUGGUAUAAGGCAUAGUGACAUUGCCUUCUCUCUCUUCCUACUCUAAUAAGGCUUUUAUAUCUAGAGCUCAUAGGUGGGAGAUAAAGUAUACAUACUUACAAGACAAUUAUUGCAUAGUCAAACCAUGGAUCCAAAGAAACAAAUCAAUAAGUCAAAUCAAGGUGUGCAUGUGUGACGAAUGAAUGGUGUAUGGUGAUGAUGGUGAUAACAAUGGUGAAAGUCUAAUUCUACUUUUGCUCUUUUGAGGGGAUACAUACCUUCCUUGCUUUUUGAAACUUUGUGAGGAGAAUGAGAUGCUCUUCUUUUUAUUUUUCUUUCCCCUCAGGUGGGUAUCUUGUACCCCUAAUUCUACUGUCGGACACUUGUCCAUUUUUACCUCUCGUCUCACUUUUUUCUUUUCUUUCGAGGUUCCCGGCACUUGCCCCUUUUUUUCUCAUAUCUAUCUCUUUUUUUUCGAGCACUCAUCUCUUGAGAUAAUAUAGCAAGUGGUAGUAACAAGAUAACUUGAGCAUUUAUUUCACAGGGGAAAAACAGAAAUGUUUUUGGCUAUUCUCUCCCGGAUUAGGAGUAGAAUAUUUUUUGGGUGGUUCUAGAGAUGGAAAUGAAUGGAUAUAUGUGGAUGGUACUUCCGGAGUAGAAGCAGCAUAUGUGAGUGAACGUGCAAGUGAAUCUUGAUUUAACCACAUGACAAGCUCCUAAGGGUCUACACAGCUUGACCACACAUAAUGCUCAUAAGCAGUAAAUAGUAAAUGUGUGGCUCAAAGUCUAACAAGCAUGUAUAUAUGGCUGUGGUAGGAAUUUAAACUCUCAUCAUACAGGAACUCAUCAUGCAAUAUUUUAAAGAUUUUCAAAGAUAAAAUUCUCCAGAAUUCUAGCAUCUCUAGGAACAGAUAAACAGCAACUCAACCUUCCCAUAUCAUAUCCGUUAACAACUUAGACUUCAGAUCAAGUUUUCUUCCCACAAGUUUAGGUUUGAGCAAGCUUUAAAUUAUAACAGUUAUGUCUAAACUUCAGAGAAAACUCAAAUUUGAAAAAUUAGGCAAAGCAACUAUUCAUCAUAUCCAUGCUAGAGUUUUAUUAUUAAGAUUCAGAUUAGCAUAGCCACUUUAUUUAUUUAUUAAACUAAGCAAAAGAUAUAUAUAUAUAUAAGCAUAAAAUCUUUAUUUAGUUUUCCAUAAUUAUGUAUAUUUAUAUUUUAAUAUAGUAUAAGUAUAAAGAUAGAUAGAUAGAAAUACUUAUCGGGAUAAAUGGGGGUGCUCUCCCCCAAGCUGAAUUUUGACGUAAUUUCCCUUGAUGUAGCUAGCAGGUGGCAGAGGUGUAUUUGAAAGUCAGCAGCAUUCUGACAGCGAUUAGAAUGUCCUCUGUCUGCUAGUCUUCUUGAUUCUUAAAUUCUGUGGGGCUCUAAUAGACAACAAAGCUUGUGGAACUGAUUAAGUGUUAGCAUAAAUAACUAGCCUUUAUCAUGUUGAGACUCCUUAGUAAAUAUUACUCCUUGUUUUUAUAUUUUCAUUUUAUAAAGUAGAAAAUAAAUAUUUAUUUUAUUUUUAUGCCACCACAGUGAAUGUACUUACGGGUUUUUAUGCCACUCGUAUACUCACAUGGGGCUUACUGUUUUUCACAUUUUUAUUUUCUUUUUAGGAUAGUAUGAACAUGAUUAACUAAGCAAACUAUUUUUAAAUAAUUGAAAAGGGAAAGGGAUAACUACCAAGUUUACCUCUUGGCAAGGCGUUCGGUGUUUUUAAGUCCUCCGAACUGGACUCUCUGUUGUCUCAAUUGUCCUGAGGUUCGUUGGGUGGCGUAGUCGGUACUUCCGGCGGCUCCUCUUCUUCGUGUAUGGUUAUCUUCUCUUUCCACACCUAACACGGUGCUACGGUCUCCUCUGGAUAAUUAUGUUUAAACUGUAUGUCUUCUGACCUUACAACUUCUCCUUCAUAGUCUGCCCAUCCAUCUUUGAUGAUCUGCCUCCUCUGGUUGCGAUUGCGUCGUUUUCUGACCUGCUUAGAUUCUUCAAAGAUGUAGUUAGGGUUAGUAAAAUAACGGCGUACCUUCUCUGAGGAGAAGUGCAUAUGGACUUCUCCGGUUCCAAUGUAGAUAAUUGCUUUAACGGUGCUGAGGAACGGUCUUCCAAGGAUGAUGGGUGGAUCAUACUCGUCUUCUCCCAUGUCAAUAUCCUGAAAGUCUGUGUAGACAAAAUGAUCGUCUAUUUUGACAGGGACAUCCGUUACUGUUCCUUUAACCUCUCG